rnacentral:rRNA from 1 species
UGGGGGAUAUUGCACAAUGGGCGAAAGCCUGAUGCAGCGACGCCGCGUGGGGGAUGAAGGCCUUCGGGUUGUAAACUUCUUUUGCUCUGAACAAGGCAUGCCUUUGGGGUGUGUUGAGUGUAGGGGUUGAUUAGCGCCGGCUAACUACGUGCCAGCAGCCGCGGUAAUACGUAGGGCGCGAGCGUUGUCCGGAAUUAUUGGGCGUAAAGGGCUUGUAGGUGGCUGGUUGCGUCUGUCGUGAAAGCUCAUGGCUUAACUGUGGGUUUGCGGUGGGUACGGGCUGGCUUGAGUGCAGUAGGGGAGGCUGGAAUUCCUGGUGUAGCGGUGGAAUGCGCAGAUGUCAGGAGGAAUACCGGUGGCGAAGGCGGGUCUCUGGGCUGUUACUGCCGCUGAGGAGCGAAAGCGUGGGGAGCGAACAGG